AGUGAAAUUGCCUGUGUCUGCAUGUGCGUAUGCUUACUGUAUAAUUAAGGUUUUAUACAGAAAAGGCCAUAUAUUGCUUUUUCUAAUAUAAAAUAUUGGUCCUUUCAGGGUAAAAACGUUUAAUUAUACAGUAAGCAUAAUACACAUGCAGACACAGGCAAUUUCACU